GCGGGAGUAGCUCAGUUGGCAGAGCGGCUGCCUUCCAAGUAGCAGGUCGCGGGUUCGAGACCCGUCUCCCGCUCCA
rnacentral:tRNA from 1 species